rnacentral:tRNA from 1 species
AUGGCUGUGGCUCAGUGGUAGAGCACUUGCCUUGCACGUGUGAGACACUGGGUUCAAUCCUCAACACCAUA